rnacentral:tRNA from 1 species
GUUAGAAUGGCCGAGGGGUCUAAGGCGCCAGACUCAAGAUGAGUUAAUCUCCUCAAGGAAUGAGGUUUCUGGUCCCCUGAUGGAGGCGUGGGUUAAAAUCCCACUUCUGACA